UACAGAGGUGGCAAGCGUUGUUCGGAAUUACUGGGCGUAAAGGGCGCGUAGGCGGCCCGUCAAGUCCCGUGUGAAAGCCCCCGGCUCAACCGGGGAACUGCACGGGAAACUAGCAGGCUUGAGUUCGGGAGAGGGAAGCGGAAUUUCGGGUGUAGCGGUGAAAUGCGCAGAUAUCCGAAGGAACACCGGUGGCGAAGGCGGCUUCCUGGACCGACACUGACGCUGAGGCGCGAAAGCGUGGGGAGCGAACAGG
rnacentral:rRNA from 1 species